CACGUAGGGGGCGAGCGUUGUCCGGAUUUAUUGGGCGUAAAGAGCUCGUAGGCGGCUCAGUAAGUCGGGUGUGAAAACUCCAGGCUCAACCUGGAGACGCCACCUGAUACUGCUGUGGCUAGAGUCCGGAAGAGGAGAGUGGAAUUCCUGGUGUAGCGGUGAAAUGCGCAGAUAUCAGGAGGAACACCCGUGGCGAAAGCGGCUCUCUGGGACGGUACUGACGCUGAGACGCGAAAGCGUGGGGAGCAAACAGG
rnacentral:rRNA from 1 species